CAUGAUUAAAGGUAUUUUCCGGUAGACGAUGGGGAUGCGUUCCAUUAGAUAGUAGGCGGGGUAACGGCCCACCUAGUCAACGAUGGAUAGGGGUUCUGAGAGGAAGGUCCCCCACAUUGGAACUGAGACACGGUCCAAACUCCUACGGGAGGCAGCAGUGAGGAAUAUUGGUCAAUGGGCGAUGGCCUGAACCAGCCAAGUAGCGUGAAGGAUGACUGCCCUAUGGGUUGUAAACUUCUUUUAUAAAGGAAUAAAGUCGGGUAUGCAUACCCGUUUGCAUGUACUUUAUGAAUAAGGAUCUGGCUAACUCCGUGCCAGCAGCCGCGGUAAUACGGAGGAUCCGAGCGUUAUCCGGAUUUAUUGGGUUUAAAGGGAGCGUAGAUGGAUGUUUAAGUCAGUUGUGAAAGUUUGCGGCUCAACCGUAAAAUUGCAGUUGAUACUGGAUGUCUUGAGUGCAGUUGAGGCAGGCGGAAUUCGUGGUGUAGCGGUGAAAUGCUUAGAUAUCACGAAGAACUCCGAUUG
rnacentral:rRNA from 1 species